rnacentral:rRNA from 1 species
UACGGGGGGGGCAAGCGUUGUUCGGAAUUACUGGGCGUAAAGGGCUCGUAGGCGGCCAACUAAGUCGGAUGUGAAAUCCCCAGGCUUAACCUGGGAACUGCAUCCGAUACUGGAUGGCUUGAAUCCGGGAGAGGGAUGCGGAAUUCCAGGUGUAGCGGUGAAAUGCGUAGAUAUCGGGAGGAACACCUGUGGCGAAAGCGGCUCACUGGACCACAACUGACGCUGAGGCACGAAGGCCAGGGGAGCAAACGGG